rnacentral:misc_RNA from 1 species
AAAAGAGGAAGGAGAAGAUGAUGCGAAUAAGAUUGGUAUGGUUCACAAUAGGUUUCACUUCAGCUUCAGCUGCAAUGUCUCAAUUCAUAUUCAGAGAUCUAUGGGCUCAUCAACUCUCUCUUUCUUCCCAAUUGGAGGAGAAAUUCGGUGUAUUGGGGACUAGGGUUUCCAAUCUUGAAUCAGCGCUUCAUGAUAUUCCUAAUACUCAGCAGGAUGAAGGAAACUGAAGUGUAGCACCAUCGUCAGAUCGUGUUCUUCAGCAUGGAUGGAUACUGUUUCUUGAUUAUGUAUCUUGGUGAUGUCUGAUAUCAACGGACAAUAUGCAAAUAAGGAAAUGAAAUUUUUAUAUUUUCCUUUGGUGUUGCAAAUUUAUAAUCCAGUUGUGAUUGGGGGUGCUCCCUUAAGUUUAAACAAGAUUGUUAUACAUUUUUUAUUUGGAGGUCUGUGGUUUUCGACAUGAUAUUUUCUGACAAUUUAACAAAAAUGUGUACCUUUAAAGGUGUGUCUAGAUGUGCAUUUUCAAAGUUAAAAAGUGUUAACGAGACACACCUGUGCCAAGUUGAAGCGUCUAGAUUGUCUCGAUAAAAAGUAGGGUGCUCAAUU